GAUUCAAAUAAACAAUAGAUGUGGCCAUUUAUUUAGAGCUGGCUAGAAAAUAUAAAUGGCCACCUAUCAAUGUUUUUCUGCUUUCUUUUUAUUAGGACUUGAGACCAGGAGACGUAUCCAGCAAGCGGAACCUCUGGGAAAAGCAGUCUGUGGAUAAGGUCACUUCCCCCACUAAGGUUUGAGACAGUUCCAGAAAGAACCCAAGCUCAAGACGCGGGACGAGCUCAGUGGUAGAGGGCUAAUUUGCUCUGUUUUGUAUUUAUGUUGAUUUACUAAAUUGGGUUCAUUUUCUUUUAUUUUUCAAUAUCCCAAUAAACCCAUGUAUAUUAUCACUAUAUUUAAUAAUCACAGUCUAGAGAUGUUCAUGGUAAAAGUACUGCCUUUGCACAGGAGCCUGUUUCUAAAGAAACCCAUGCUGUGAAAUAGAGACUUUUCUACUGAUCAUCAUAACUCUGUAUCUGAGCAGUGAUAUCAACCACAUCUGAAGUCAACAGAAGAUCCAAGUUUAAAAUUGCCUGCGGAAUGUGUGCAGUAUCUAGAAAAAUGAACCAUAGUUUUUG
rnacentral:sRNA from 1 species